UACGAGGGGUGCAAGCGUUAUUCGGAAUCAUUGGGCGUAAAGGGUGCGUAGACGGCUUAUUAAGUCAACUGUUAAAUUCUCCGGCCUAACUGGAGGUCAGCGGUAGAAACUAAUAAGCUUGAGGUUGGAAGAGAGAAGUGGAAUUCUCGGAGUAGCGGUAAAAUGCGUAGAUCUCGAGAGGAACACCGAUGGCGAAGGCAGCUUCUUGGUCCAAAUCUGACGUUGAGGCACGAAAGCGUGGGGAGCAAACAGG
rnacentral:rRNA from 1 species